UUUUCCCAGUUCCCAGUGACGACUACAGGCCCAAAGGAGCGUGCAGGGUUCAUGCUGGCACCAGUGUAAGGGAUCUGUAAACAAGAGAGAAACAUUAAUGAUGUUCUCUAGAGAAAGAUCUAUCCCGUUAAAGCUGGUAUUGCAUCUCAGACAAGCUCCAGACUGAGCAUCCAUGUGCUGUCUACAAGGACCUGAAAUGUACUGACUUACUGCAAAUAGAUGGCCAAUGCAUACAGCAAAUCCUAUGGCUAGUCCAGCUGACCCUUUCAAGUCAUUCCGUUUAGGAUCACAUGUAGCAAAGACGGUGAAGACGAGCUCAAAGAAACAUUGCUUCAGUUUCCGGACGCAAGAACCAAGAAAAGAACCAAAUGCUCACCGCGGUUACUCCGAGGCCUCCUCUCACAGUACUGGGAG